GGAUCUCCAGGUAACAGUCCAGCCAUAUGCACUAGUCCGUAACUAGGAUACAAUGGUUAAGAUAACUCUCCUAUAUAUGGAGCAGGCCUUUACCACCGACAGAUGUGAACGCAUAAUCCAGUAGCUUCCUGAUUGAAAGAAUUAGGGAUU